UCAGACGGCCGGGCGGUCGCGGCGGGGGUUAUGCCUCUGUCGAGGAAAGUCCGGGCUCCACGGUGAAGAGGCGGCGGGCAACACCCGCCCGGGGCGACCCGAGGGAUAGCGCCACAGAAAGCAAACCGCCUGCCUCGCGAGGCAGGGAAGGGUGAAAGGGUGGGGUAAGAGCCCACCGCGUGCCUGGCAACAGGGACGGCAUGGCAAGCCCCGCCUGGAGCAAGACCAAAUAGGGACAUCGCGCG
rnacentral:RNase_P_RNA from 1 species